rnacentral:rRNA from 1 species
AGUGAACGCUGGCGGUAGGCCUAACACAUGCAAGUCGAACGGCAGCACAGUAAGAGCUUGCUCUUACGGGUGGCGAGUGGCGGACGGGUGAGGAAUACAUCGGAAUCUACUUUUUCGUGGGGGAUAACGUAGGGAAACUUACGCUAAUACCGCAUACGACCUACGGGUGAAAGCAGGGGAUCUUCGGACCUUGCGCGAUUGAAUGAGCCGAUGUCGGAUUAGGUAGUUGGCGGGGUAAAGGCCAACCAAGGCGACGAUCCGUAGCUGGUCUGUGAGGAUGAUCAGCCACACUGGAACUGAGACACGGUCCAGACUCCUACGGGAGGCAGCAGUGGGGAAUAUUGGACAAUAGGCGCAAGCCUGAUCCAGCCAUACCGCGUGGGUGAAGAAGGCCUUCGGGUUGUAAAGCCCUUUUGUUGGGAAAGAAAAGCAGCAGGUUAAUACCCCGCUGUUCUGACGGUACCCAAAGAAUAAGCACCGGCUAACUUCGUG